ACUGUAGGUGAGUAGGACCCAGGUCAGAUGGUUACUGUAGGUGAGUAGGACCCAGGUCAGAUGGUUACUGUAGGUGAGUAGGACCCAGGACAGGUUAGAUGGUUACUGUAGGUGAGUAGGACCCAGGUCAGAUGGUUACUGUAGGUGAGUAGGACCCAGGUCAGAUGGUUACUGUAGGUGAGUAGGACCCAGGUCAGGUUAGAUGGUUACUGUAGGUGAGUAGGACCCAGGUCAGGUUAGAUGGUUACUGUAGGUGAGUAGG